CUUGGAAUUCUUUUCCAUGGUUUAAUUACCAUUUUGGUCCUUUUACUAUUUUAAAUCUAUAGAAUUAAAUUUUAAAUCUUUUACAAUUUAAUCAUUUUACCUCAAUUAAGCAAUAAAUCAUCAAAAUUAACAGACCCAACUUUAAUUCACAUAUAAUACGACUUUGUAAAUAUCUAAUAAAAAUAUUUACUACUUUAUAUUACAGAAAUGAGGUCCUAAUACCUCAUUUUCAAUGACUACUUGACUU
rnacentral:lncRNA from 1 species